CUCAGCAAGGCUGGUCUGGGCUAGGGGGAGAAGUGCUGCAAGUGAUACCCACGGCACAAAUAGGGAAAGACCCAGCUCCAGGUGGGGAAGCAAAGCUGGCAAGAAGCCAGACUGCAGAAAACACAUGGGAAAACCAAGCCUGAAGGAACAAGAAGAGGACAGAGAGAAGAACCAAAAGGAUAAUUGCAGGCAGGGAGUCUGAGCUGUUUGCCAGAGCAGAGGAUCCUUAGUGGUGGGACAGAAACACUCUGCAGCUGCACAGAAAUGCAUGGAUCUUACUAGCUCGUAUCCUGAAGAUCUUUGGUCUUUGGCACUAUGGUCUGGGCACCAAACUCUUGCAGGUUGCUACAGUGGGAAGCUGGGAAGCAGAACCUCCCCUGAAGGAUUCACAGCACCACCCACAUCAGCAUGGCUGCAGCUGCGGGCUUGUUGUCUCCUCUGCAAGUGUCUCCUGAGGGGAUGUUUCUGCUAACAGGGCUGUGCAAGUGAGACUGAGGGGCACUGGGCAAACAGGAUUUGCCAUCUCCAGUCAGAGGCAACAAAACUGUUUCCUGCACAACCUGAACUGGCAGCUGCAGGUGUCUAAACUUGGAAAGGAAAGGGCAGCAGGGAAGAAGAAAGACAGAAGGAAUAGAGACAACCCCACCACAUAGUCUGAAUGUAUUUCCUUUUUCCUGGAAGAGCUGCCAUGAGCACUGGGAUCUCUCCUUUGCUCUCUGAGAGUUGGUGGCUGAUGCCUGUCAGUUCAUAAGGAUCAUGGGUAGCUCUGAGAGCAUCUCAGGGGGUGAAAUCUCUUCCUUCCCCUCUCUCCAACUCUGAUCUGCUGUGCUGGAGCUGGUACAUGCCAUAUGUGGCCUAUCCCCAUCAGUCCCAGCCAGCA